rnacentral:tRNA from 1 species
AAAUCUGGGUGUCGCCUAAUCAACAAA